UGGGGAAUUUUGGACAAUGGGCGAAAGCCUGAUCCAGCAAUGCCGCGUGUGUGAAGAAGGCCUUCGGGUUGUAAAGCACUUUUGUCCGGAAAGAAAUCCUUGGCUCUAAUACAGUCGGGGGAUGACGGUACCGGAAGAAUAAGCACCGGCUAACUACGUGCCAGCAGCCGCGGUAAUACGUAGGGUGCAAGCGUUAAUCGGAAUUACUGGGCGUAAAGCGUGCGCAGGCGGUUUGCUAAGACCGAUGUGAAAUCCCCGGGCUCAACCUGGGAACUGCAUUGGUGACUGGCAGGCUAGAGUAUGGCAGAGGGGGGUAGAAUUCCACGUGUAGCAGUGAAAUGCGUAGAGAUGUGGAGGAAUACCGAUGGCGAAGGCAGCCCCCUGGGCCAAUACUGACGCUCAUGCACGAAAAGCGUGGGGAGCAAAACAGGAUUAGAUACCCUGGUAGUCCACGCCCUAAAACGAUGUCAACUAGUUGUUGGGGAUUCAUUUCCUUAGUAACGUAGCUAAACGCGUGAAGUUGACCGCCUGGGGAGUACGGUCGCAAGAUUAAAACUUAAAUGAAUUGACGGGGUCAUAGCUGUUUCCU
rnacentral:rRNA from 1 species